AGUGAACUGCGUUUGUAGUGAAAAUCCUUAUUCGCCGGGGUUCGGCGUAUAAGAUUGCAACGAAUAGCUGGAAAUUGC
rnacentral:sRNA from 1 species